rnacentral:rRNA from 1 species
CGAAGGCUUCGGCCUUAGUGGCGCACGGGUGCGUAACGCGUGGGAAUCUGCCCUCAGGUUCGGAAUAACAGCGAGAAAUUGCUGCUAAUACCGGAUGAUAUCGCGAGAUCAAAGAUUUAUCGCCUGAGGAUGAGCCCGCGUAGGAUUAGCUAGUUGGUGUGGUAAAGGCGCACCAAGGCGACGAUCCUUAGCUGGUCUGAGAGGAUGAUCAGCCACACUGGGACUGAGACACGGCCCAGACUCCUACGGGAGGCAGCAGUGGGGAAUAUUGGACAAUGGGCGAAAGCCUGAUCCAGCAAUGCCGCGUGAGUGAUGAAGGCCUUAGGGUUGUAAAGCUCUUUUACCCGGGAUGAUAAUGACAGUACCGGGAGAAUAAGCUCCGGCUAACUCCGUGCCAGCAGCCGCGGUAAUACGGAGGGAGCUAGCGUUAUUCGGAAUUACUGGGCGUAAAGCGCACGUAGGCGGCU